GGGCGAGUGGUGGAAUGGCAGACACGCAAGACUUAGGAUCUUGUGGCGCAAGCCGUGGGGGUUCAAGUCCCCCCUCGCCCACCA
rnacentral:tRNA from 1 species